rnacentral:rRNA from 1 species
UGGGGAAUAUUGGACAAUGGACCAAGAGUCUGAUCCAGCAAUUCUGUGUGCACGAUGACGUUUUUCGGAAUGUAAAGUGCUUUCAGUUGGGAAGAAAAAAAUGACGGUACCAGCAGAAGAAGUGACGGCUAAUACGUGCCAGCAGCCGCGGUAAUACGUAUGUCACGAGCGUUAUCCGGAUUUAUUGGGCGUAAAGCGCGUCUAGGUGGUUAUGUAAGUCUGAUGUGAAAAUGCAGGGCUCAACUCUGUAUUGCGUUGGAAACUGUGUAACUAGAGUACUGGAGAGGUAAGCGGAACUACAAGUGUAGAGGUGAAAUUCGUAGAUAUUUGUAGGAAUGCCGAUGGGGAAGCCAGCUUACUGGACAGAUACUGACGCUGAAGCGCGAAAGCGUGGGUAGCAAACAGGAUUAGAUACCCUGGUAGUCCACGCCGUAAACGAUGAUUACUAGGUGUUGGGGGUCGAACCUCAGCGCCCAAGCAAACGCGAUAAGUAAUCCGCCUGGGGAGUACGUACGCAAGUAUG